rnacentral:lncRNA from 1 species
AGUAAAGAUUAAAUGUGCUUCUCAAAGGCAGCCACUUCAUGCUGCUAUGUCGAAAGGGCCAUUAUUAUUAUUAUUAUAUUUUAAUAGUAAAAGAGAAAAGGAGAGAGGUUGAGCGAGCGAGAGAGAAGCUAGGUGUGAUGAUGACAGACUAGCUUUUCUGAGAGGAAAAGGAAAAGGGAAGGGAGAGAAAAAGGAGAGCCUCUGAGCUCAACGGAGGAUUGUGCCUGAGAAGAACCUACAGAGGAAAGCCCCACUUCCAGUCUGAUGAGGAAAGCGACAAUCUAUCAGGUACAGAACCAGGGGCUGUCUGCAAAGAUGGAGGGGAAUUAUGCUUCGGAUUCCUCUGAAAUAUUGGCCAAAGGCUUCAAAGAAUCCGCAGCGGGAGGUGCGGGGGGAAUGUCUCUCCCCAGCCCGCACCCAGCCCUUCCCACUUCGCGUCUACCAAAUGACAGCCUGGUGCUCGCUCUUGGUGAUUUGGCCUUGACUUCAGCCAAGCAGCUGAUGCAGACGAAGGCUCCGUUUGCAGGACUGGCAAAGUGCACGCUAAAGAAAGAAGGAAGAAAUUUUUCAAAAAGCAGCUCUGGGGAGGUUUCAU